rnacentral:sRNA from 1 species
AUACGCUCCCUCCGUGCGGCGUCACUCUCCGCAUGCUCGCAUGCGGGAGAGCGACGCCAUAGGGAGGGGCAACGGAUAUGAGGGAAAAAGCCUCUCGGAGAAGCCGAGAGGCGAUUCCCGAAUAGCCGGAAGGAUUCCGAGAACCGCGAAGCGGUGAAGGAAUCCGGAGCGGAU